AGUGACUGUAACUGGGAGGAACCAUGAAGACAUCCACAGGAGCUUUAAUCAUAUUCUUGUGGCUGCAGCUGAACUGGUUCAGCCAAGGAGAGAAGGUGGAGCAGCAUCCUUCUACCCUGAGUGUGCAGCAGGGAAGCAGCUCUGUUAUCAACUGCAGUUAUUCAGACAGUCUCUCAGUCUACUUCCCUUGGUAUAAGCAAGAGUUUGGAAAAGGUCCCCAGCUCCUUAUAGACAUUCGUUCAAGCAUGGCCAAAAAAGAAAACCAAAGACUCACUGUUUUUUUGAAUAGGACAGCCAAACAUCUCUCCCUGCACAUCGCAGACACCCAGCCUGAAGACUCAGCUGUGUACUUCUGUGCAGCAAGCACACAUUGCUUCCCAGGCACCUGCUGCCUGCACUCAAACCUGGGUGUGGGGCAGUCCCCUGUCCUUUGA